AUUUCUGGCGGGAGCGGGUGGUCCGGCACUUAGUGUUGGUACUUUCCUGUCUCUUGCCAUCCUUGGGUCUAAGCUGUCUGGCAUUUAGUUGUCGGGCAGUGGCUGCCCAUCGUUUACUGUGAAAAAAUUAGAGUGUUCAAAGCAGGCUUAUGCCGUUGAAUAUAUUAGCAUGGAAUAAUAAGAUAGGACCUUGGUACUAUUUUGUUGGUUUGCGCACCGAGGUAAUGAUUAAGAGGGACAGUUGGGGGUAUUCGUAUUCAAUUGUCAGAGGUGAAAUUCUUGGAUUUCUGGAAGACGAACUACUGCGAAAGCAUUUACCAAGGAUGUUUUCAUUAAUCAAGAACGAAAGUUAGGGGAUCGAAGAUGAUUAGAUACCAUCGUAGUCUUAACCAUAAACUAUGCCGACUAGGGAUUUGUGGGUGUUAUUUAUGACCCC
rnacentral:rRNA from 1 species